rnacentral:rRNA from 1 species
CCCUUAGAUGUUCUGGGCCGCACGCGCGCUACACUGAAUGGAUCAACGUGUUUUCCCUUCCCGAGAGGGACGGGUAACCCGCUGAACCCCAUUCGUGGUAGGGAUCGGAGCUUGCAAUUGUUCUCCGUGAACCAGGAAUUCCCAGUAAGCGCAAGUCAUAAGCUUGCGUUGAUUACGUCCCUGCCCUUUGUACACACCGCCCGUCGCUACUACCGAUUGAACGUUUUAGUGAGGUAUUUGGACUGGACCUUCGGAGGUUCGUGCCUCCGUUGCUGUUCGGGAAGACUCCCAAACUUGAGCGUUUAGAGGAAGUAAAAGUCGUAACA